UACAGAGGUCUCAAGCGUUGUUCGGAUUCAUUGGGCGUAAAGGGCGCGUAGGCGGUGCGGUAAGUCACCUGUGAAAUCUCCUGGCUCAACUGGGAGCUUGCAGGCGAAACUGCCGUGCUGGAGUGUGGGAGAGGUGCGUGGAAUUCCUGGUGUAGCGGUGAAAUGCGUAGAUAUCAGGAGGAACACCUGUGGCGAAAGCGGCUCACUGGACCGCAACUGACGCUGAGGCGCGAAAGCUAGGGGAGCAAACAGG
rnacentral:rRNA from 1 species